rnacentral:rRNA from 1 species
GAUGAACGCUGGCGGCGUGCUUAACACAUGCAAGUCGAACGGGAAAUAUUUCAUUGAGACUUCGGUGGAUUUGAUUUAUUUCUAGUGGCGGACGGGUGAGUAACGCGUGGGUAACCUGCCUUAUACAGGGGGAUAACAGUCAGAAAUGGCUGCUAAUACCGCAUAAGCGCACAGAGCUGCAUGGCUCAGUGUGAAAAACUCCGGUGGUAUAAGAGGGACCCGCGUUGGAUUAGCUAGUUGGUGGGGUAACGGCCCACCAAGGCGACGAUCCAUAGCCGGCCAGAGAGAGUGGACGGCAACGUUGGGACUGGGCCACGGCCGAGACUCAUACGGGAGGCAGGAGUGGGGGAUAGUGCAAAAUGGGGGGAGCCCUGAUGCAGCGACGCCGCGUGAAGGAAGAAGUAUCUCAGUAUGUAAACUUCUAUCAGCAGGGAAGAUAGUGACGGUACCUGACUAGGAAGCCCCGGCUAACUACGUG